AUGAACGCUGCCGGCGUGCUUACCACAUGCAAGUCGAGCGAGAAACUACAUGCAGCCACUUUCGGUAGAAGCGAGUAGCGGAAAGCGGCGGACGGGUGAGUAACGCGUAGGCAACCUGCCCUUCACAGAGGUAUAGCCUCGGGAAACCGGGAUUAAAACCACAUAAAAUCAUAGGUUCGCAUGAACCAAAGGUCAAAGAUUUAUCGGUGAAGGAUGGGCCUGCGUCUGAUUAGCUGGUUGGUAGGGUAAAAGCCUACCAAGGCGACGAUCAGUAGCCGACCUGAGAGGGUGAUCGGCCACAUUGGAACUGAGACACGGUCCAAACUCCUACGGGAGGCAGCAGUGGGGGAUAUUGCACAAUGGGGGAAACCCUGAUGCAGCAACGCCGCGUGAGGUAUGAAGGCCUUUGGGUUGUAAGCCUCUGUCCUAGGGGAAGAAAAAAAUGACGGUACCCGAGGAGGAAGCCCGGC
rnacentral:rRNA from 1 species